UACGUAGGGGGCUAGCGUUGUCCGGAAUCAUUGGGCGUAAAGCGCGUGUAGGCGGUCCGGUAAGUCCGCUGUGAAAGCCAGGGGCUCAACCCUUGGAUGCCGGUGGAUACUGUCGGGCUUGAGUACGGAAGAGGCGAGUGGAAUUCCUGGUGUAGCGGUGAAAUGCGCAGAUAUCAGGAGGAACACCAAUUGCGAAGGCAGCUCGCUGGGACGUUACUGACGCUGAGGAGCGAAAGCAUGGGGAGCGAACAGG
rnacentral:rRNA from 1 species